rnacentral:rRNA from 1 species
GACGAACGCUGGCGGCGUGCUUAACACAUGCAAGUCGAACGGAGGAUUUAUUUCGGUAAAUCCUUAGUGGCGAACGGGUGAGUAACGCGUGGGCAAUCUGCCCUUCAGAUGGGGACAACAUCCCGAAAGGGGUGCUAAUACCGAAUACGAUCACGCUGCCGCAUGGCGGUGUGAUGAAAGAUGGCCUCUACUUAUAAGCUAUCGCUGAAGGAUGAGCCUGCGUCUGAUUAGCUAGUUGGUGGGGUAACGGCCUACCAAGGCGAUGAUCAGUAGCAGGUCUGAGAGGAUGAACGGCCACAUUGGGACUGAGACACGGCCCAAACUCCUACGGGAGGCAGCAGUGGGGAAUAUUCCGCAAUGGACGAAAGUCUGACGGAGCAACGCCGCGUGAGUGAUGAAGGUUUUCGGACUGUAAAGCUCUGUUGUUUAGGACGAAAGUGCCUGUUGCGAACAGUUACAGGUAUUGACGGUACUGAACGAGGAAGCCACGGCUAACUACGUGCCAGCCGCCGCGGUAA